AACGCACAUUGCGCCCCUUGGUAUUCCGGGGGGCAUGCUUGUUCGAGCGUCAUUAUCACCACUCAAGCUCAGCUUGGUCUUGGGCUGCGCCUUUACCGGCCGGCCCCAAAUCCAGUGGCGACGCCCUCAGGGACCACGCGUAGUAACUCACCUCGCGGCGGGACGUGACGGGCGCCGACCAGAACCCCAACUCUUAUGGUUGACCUCGGAUCAAGUAGGAAUACCCGCUGAACUUAA
rnacentral:misc_RNA from 1 species